UGUACGCUGUAAAUUGCUUCGUCGCCCAGCCAAGUGCCUGGCAACCCUACGCCACUGACAUAGCGGCUCACACGCAUACAAUACAUGCGAACGCAAACCUCACACAUUUGUACCAACACACACAAAGCGCGUAUAGAAAAUUUUUUUCAACGUGCAUAAGUUUUUACGGAGCUGGAAGCUGCUGGAGCUACAAAUAAACAGUAGAAAUCUUUGAAGCAGUUGUCAAACAAUUUAGUAAAUUAAUAAGUCAGCAAUUGUGAGUUGAGAAUAAUAUUGUGCAUACGUCGAAAAAAGAAGAAUAAUAACAAGAAUAACUGCACUCGGGAA